ACUUGCUUGACCAUACCGCAGCUGAUAGAACUGUGUGUUACAUGCAAUAUUUGCUUAGUGGACUUCACCGGACAGAUGUUGCUCUCCGGUUUUGUGAUGAAACAAAGACAGCCCCUGAAGACGGCACGGACAGACAGCCCCUGAAGACGGCACGGACAGACAGCCCCUGAAGACGGCACGGGCAGACAGCCCCUGAAGACGGCACGGACAGACAGCCCCUGAAGACGGCACGGACAGAGAGCCCCUGAAGACGGCACGGACAGCACAGGUUGACCAUAAAGGCAGCCAAGUGGGGGCCCCUCAGAGGAAGAAGGCCAUGCCUUGCCGGUCGGUCCCUGGCACAAGGCUGCUGUAGAACAACCAGGAACGAACAACUGUCACAGACGUAACUGAGUUAAUGGACUGCCAGUGGGUGUUCACAUCCUAUUCUAUCCAUAACACCGCAGGUAGUCCAGCCUAGGGCUGCCUGCGACCUUAGUGGCACCCUAUUCUCUAUAUAGGGCCAUUCUUUUGACCAGGGACCAUGGGGAAUAGGGUGCCACUUGAGGAGCAGCCUAGCUGUUAAGAGUCCUUCCUAUCAACAGGGGGAAAGGAACAUCACACAAACCAAUGGGGUUACCAUGGAAACCACCAUGCUCUCUCUGUCUCUCCCCCUGGCUUACUCUUCAUUAGUGUUGAGAAGAGAACAUGGAUUGCUCAUAGACAGACAGGACAAAGAGGACAAUGCUGGGGGCUGGAAGACUAACCGACACACACACACACACACACAGUUUGAGAGGGAUCCCUGCAGACCCCCAAACAAUUGUGCUUGCCAAAACAAAAUGUUAUUUUUUGUUGUUGUUGAAAGAAAUAGUGCCCCUUUUGUGUACUGUAUACCUGAUAUGGUACAGGAAAGGUAUGAAAAACUGGAUACCACCCAACCCUAACACACACACACACAUACAGACAAAUGCUGGGGGCUGCUGGACUAAUUGAGACACAUUGAGAGUCUGUGCCUCUGAUGCAAGGUUAUUAUAGUGAAUGACAACUGAAACAAAAAAACACAUUUCAUAAACUGAAAUAAAACAAUUAAAUGAUUAUCUUUGACUCCAAAACAAAACCAAAAUAAAUCAAAAACCAGUUUGAGUUUUUUCUUCUUCUGAAAUUUGGGCAAAAAUCUAAGUGUUUUCAAGCUUCUUUUGGGGUUUUUCCCCCCUAAGGCCGAGGCUGUGGAUGAGUAGGUAUCCGCCCCGUCCAGCCGCCCUGGAACCCCUGAAAAGAUCCAUCAUGUCCCGUGCAUGUGUUUCUUUACCUCUCCUUUACGCACACAUUGUUGUCAUCAAUUCACAUUUCUCCCUGUCAAUUUCAAGCUUUACCGGUGACGUAUCCAUGCAGCAUCUGCAUGCCAACCAUUCGAUCUUAAAUCAGUGUCACGGGAAAAGGCAUUUACAACUUCUUAGUUACGUACAGAGUUGUUUCGAAAUACUUACAGUGAGCGAAUUGUAGAGCAGAUGGCGUAAACAAAACUGUAGCAUACCUGUGUUUUGCCUCAAUCAAAGCACAUAUUUUACCUAGUGAUGCGCUGUUGAGUUGUGGCCGCAUGAGAGAAACAUUUGACGGGUCGCACAAUCGUCCUAAAACCUCAUGAGAAAUGAGGUGGUGUUUCUGUCCUCAGGUAACGUUCUACUAUGUUAUUAUGUUUGGUUGUGUAGAAAAUUAUCAUUAUGUGAUCUAGCAGACAUUCAUUCAGCUUUGAUCUGACUUUAUUAAAAUGAGCACCAUUCUCCUGAGUAGCCUGUUCUGUACGAGUAGAGCAAGUUUAAGUAGAGAAUCCCAUUAGCAGCAUACCACCCUGCAUCCCACUGCUGGCUUAGCUCUGAAGCUAAGCAGUGUUGGUCCUGGUCGGUCCCUGGAUGGGAGACCAGAUGCUGCUGGAAAUGGUUUUGUAGGGCCAGUAUGACACACUCUUUCCUCUGGUCUGAAAAAAUAUAUAUAAUAUCCCAGGGCAGUGACAUUUCCGUAUUUCGGCUGGGACGUUAAACCGAUGUCCUGACUCUCUGGGGUCACUAAAGGCUAAAUUCCCAAUCUGGCCCUAAUACCCGAAUGGCCACUUAAUCAUCCCCAGCUUCCAAUUGGUUCAUUCAUCUCCCCUGUAACUAUU